rnacentral:lncRNA from 1 species
AAAACUGAAAUUUAAAACAACAUAAAAUACGUGUUGUCACCGUCGAGUCCUUCGCUGCACCAAUCUGUCAAGUCUGGGGAUUACCUGUGCGCGUUAAACAGAGAGGGGUGAGUUUACGUAAACUUAGUGCGUAAUCCCAUAGAAACCGAACAACAGUAAACACAGUGCACAGUGAAAAACAGUUUUGGGCCUAAGCCCCUUUCAAUAUCAGUAUCAGUAUGCACAAGGGUCUUAGCCCAUCACAGUAUCAGUAAUAGAUAUACAGCAUUCAGUAACAAAGUCCUAC